rnacentral:rRNA from 1 species
CGGACGGGUGAGUGACGCGUGGGUAACCUACCCUGUACACACGGAUAACAUACCGAAAGGUAUGCUAAUACGGGAUAAUAUAUUUGAGAGGCAUCUCUUGAAUAUCAAAGGUGAGCCAGUACAGGAUGGACCCGCGUCUGAUUAGCUAGUUGGUAAGGUAACGGCUUACCAAGGCGACGAUCAGUAGCCGACCUGAGAGGGUGAUCGGCCACAUUGGAACUGAGACACGGUCCAA